UCAAGCUAAUAAGAGCACAGGGUGGAUGCCCAGGCACCAAACGCCGACGAAAGACGUGGCAAGCUGCGAAAAGUCACGGGGAACCGCAAGCAGGUAUUGAUCCGUGAACGUCUGAAUGGGGAAACCCGGCGGGUUAACAGCCCGUCACUAUUAACUGAAUCAAUAGGUUAAUAGGGGGAACGCGGGGAACUGAAACAUCUCAGUACCCGUAGGAAGAGAAAAUAAAGAAUGAUUUCCUAAGUAGCGGCGAGCGAACGGGAAAGAGGCCAAACCGAAGGGCUUGCUCUUCGGGGUUGUGGAUCAGCAAUAAGGACGGAAGACCUUAGCAGAAGAGGAUUGGAAAGUCCCGCCAGAGAGGGUAAAAGCCCCUUACGCGAAAAGGUCAAACGACGAGCUGACACCAGAGUACCGCAGGACACGAGAAAUCCGGUGGGAAGCCGGGAGGACCACCUCCCAAGCCUAAAUACGAAUUGGUGACCGAUAGCGCAUAGUACCGUGAGGGAAAGGUGAAAAGAACCCCGGGAGGGGAGUGAAAAAGAACCUGAAACCCUGUGUUUACAAGCAGUGAAAGUGCGAGCAAGGCACGAUCACGUACUUUUUGUAGAACGGACCGGCGAGUUACGUUAUGCAGCAAGGUUAAGAACUGAAGGUUCGGAGCCGAAGCGAAAGCGAGUCUGAAUAGGGCGAUAGUUGCAUGACGUAGACCCGAAACCGGGUGACCUAUCCAUGAGCAGGUUGAAGUGGAGGUAAAGCUCCAUGGAGGACCGAACCAGACGUCUGUUGAAAAAGGCGGGGAUGACUUGUGGAUAGGGGAGAAAUUCCAAUCGAACCCGGAGAUAGCUGGUUCUCCUCGAAAUAGCUUUAGGGCUAGCCUCAUGGAUCAUUGGUGGGGGUAGAGCACUGAAUGUGCGCGGGGGCCACAAAGCCUACCAAACGCUAUCAAACUUCGAAUACCAUACAAUGCAGACCAUGGGAGUCAGUCCGCGAGAGAUAAGUUCCGCGGGCAAAAGGGGAACACCCCAGAUCAACCGCUAAGGUCCCCAAGUUCACGUUAAGUGGAGAAGGAUGUGGAAUUGCACAGACAACCAGGAUGUUGGCUCAGAAGCAGCCACACAUUUAAAGAGUGCGUAAUAGCUCACUGGUCGAGUGAUUGUGCGCCGAAGAUGUCCGGGGCUAAACGUGACACCGAAGCGAUGGGUGCAUCUGAAAGGAUGCGCGGUAGAGGAGCAAUGUGCAGAGGCAGAAGCCGUAUCGAGAGGCACGGUGGACACUGCACAAGAGAGAAUGCCGGUAUGAGUAGCGAGAGGCAUGCGAGAAACAUGCCCGUCGAAAGCCCAAGGUUUCCUGGGGAAGGUUCAUCCGCCCAGGGUAAGUCGGGGCCUAAGCCGAGGACGGAAGUCGUAGGCGAUGGACAGCAGGUGUAGAUUCCUGCACUACCGAUGGAAUGAAGCAGUGACACAGAAGGAUAACUCGAGCAGGGUGAUGGUCAACCCUGUGCAAGCAUCAAGGUUGGGUUGUAGUGAAGUACGCAAUCCUAUAAGCUGAGGUGUGAUGCGGACCGAAAUUUCAGUAGGGAAGCGAGUGAGUUCACGCUGGCGAGAAAAGCUGCUAGUACAUCCAAAGGUACCCGUACCGGAAACCGACGCAGGUGGGCGAGGAGAGAAUCCUGAGACGAACGGGAGAACCCUUGUUAAGGAACUCGGCAAAAUGACCCCGUAACUUCGGGAUAAGGGGUGCCUGCGAGAGCAGGCCGCAGAGAAUAGUCACAAGCGACUGUUUAGCAAAAACACAGGUAUCUGCGAAAGCGAGAGCUGACGUAUAGGUGCUGACACCUGCCCGGUGCUGGAAGGUUAAGGGAACAUGUUAGAGCAAUCGAAGCAUCGAACCGAAGCCCCAGUAAACGGCGGCCGUAACUAUAACGGUCCUAAGGUAGCGAAAUUCCUUGUC
rnacentral:rRNA from 1 species